UUGGCACGCCACUUGUUUCACCAGGACAUGUGUCAGGCUCCCCAUUUUAUCGGGCUGGAGCCAUCCCACCACAGUGGUGUCACCAUCCCAGGUCCUUGGUGCUGGGACCGUGCCCCCACCCCAAGCCUAGCUGAACUCUGAGUGCUAAGUUGCCUUUUCCAGCUAUCUCACUCUCCAGGCCUGCACAUCUGGAACCAUUCACAACGUGGUGGUUGAAAUUUCCACUAAUUCAAAUGGAAUGCUAGGGACGGAGGCCAUGGGGAGGCCCUCGGCUUCCCUCAAGUCCAGGCAAGUCACUCUGCUGGAAGAAGCGCAUGCGUCAACAAACAUCCUAGAAAGGACUCCCUAGAGCAGAGCCCCGAACCUGGGGCAAUGGAGAAUGGAGAAGCUCAGCUCUGGAUACGGUGGCCCUGAGAGACCAAGCCUAUGACACAGAUAACAAGCUCCAACGUCCUCGCCCAUUUUACAUGGUUCAUUGGUACGAACUAGAAUCCAGACACGUGACCUGCUUCGUCUGUCCAGUCACUGUGCCUAGGAAGGCCACAGAAACCAUUUAAAGCCCUUGGAGACUUCAGAAUCCCCGUGGUUGGGCUUCGUCAUGGUAGAAACAGAAGCCGAAUGGUAACAGUUCCUGAGAUACGGCUAACAAGUCUGCUCCUUCAAGAUGGAGAGGGAGGAAGAGCUUCAAGACUGGGAAGAGCCAAAGGAAGAUAAUUUUGGUUUUAAGAUGGGUCAUUUUAGUAAAGGCUAAAAAGAAAAGAGUCAAAAACAAGAGUUGAGAGAGAAGAAAUAAUGGGUUUGCAGCAGGAGCUGGUCUGGGAGUCCCAGUGAAGAGCUAAGCCAGAGACAGAGUGACAAAACUGUCGUUGAGAUGCGCAUGUGUACACAUCCAACAUGUGUGGACACAUCAUCCAACAUGUGUGGACACAUCCAACAUGUGUGUGCACAUCCAACAUGUGUGGACACAUCCAACAUGUGUGUGCACAUCCAACAUGUGUGGACACAUCAUCCAACAUGUGUGGACACAUCCAACAUGUGUGGACACAUCCAACAUGUGUGGACACAUCCAACAUGUGUGGACACAUCCAACAGAAUUUGGUGUGGCGUGUCUUCCUCUACCACUCCUCGCCUUACAUUUUAAGACAAGUCUCUCAUGGAACCUGGAGCACAGUGGUUCAGCUAGGCUGUCUGGCCAGCAAGCCAAGAGGAUCCACCUGUCUCUGCUCCCUCAGCACUGGGGUGACAGGCAUAAUCUAGCAGCUCUGCACCUGCGUGGGUGGCAUUUCAGGUCUCUACGCCUCUGUGUGUAUGUGUUCAUAAGUGUGUUGUAGGUGCAUUUGCAUGCUUGCACAUGUGGAGGCUCAAAGUUGGCAUCAGGUGUCUUCCUCAAAUCGCUCUCCACAUCUGUGGGCAUCUGGUCUCACACUCAGAUCCCCUUAUGCACGCAUGCAUGCACACACGUGUGCACGCACACAUACACGAACAUAAACAUAUAAUUAAAAAAAAAU